GGUGCAUGAAGGGUGUGAGGGGGAUGGAGGGUGUGAGGGGGUAUUGGGGUGAAGGUGGUAGGGUGUAUGGAGAUGUCAGGGGGUAUCAGGGUGCAAGCAGUGGGGUGUAUGGAGGUGUCAGGGGGUAUCAGGGAGGGGGUAUCAGGGGACAGGCAGUGGGGUGUAUGGAGGUGUCAGGGGACAGGCAGUGGGGUGUAUGGAGGUGUCAGGGGGUAUCAGGGAGGGGGUAUCAGGGGACAGGCAGUGGGGUGUAUGGAGGUGUCAGGGGGUAUCAGGGAGGGGGUAUCAGGGGACAGGCAGUGGGGUGUAUGGAGGUGUCAGGGGGUAUCAGGGUGCAAGCAGUGGGGUGUAUGGAGAUGUCAGGGGGUAUCAGGGUGCAAGCAGUGGGGUGUAUGGAGAUGUCAGGGGGUAUCGGGGUGUAAGCAGUGGGGGGUAUGGAGGUGUCAGGGGGUAUCAGGGGACAGGCAGUGGGGUGUAUGGAGGUGUCAGGGUGUAUCAGGGAGGGGGUGUCAGGGGGUAUCAGGGUGUAAGCAGUGGGGGGUAUGGUAUUAGGGAGGUGCAGACAGGGAGUGGACAUUAGGGGUGCUGAGCCGGGAGAGGCCAGCACUGGGGUGCAGGCUGUGACUGGGGGUAGGAUUUGGGGAGCAGCCUCCUGUCAAUGUGAGGGGUGCAGUGCGUGGCCGGGGUUCUUUCAGGGGUGCAGCAGUGUUGAGCCGCAGGGGGCCAUCAUUGGGCUGUCCUAGGUCGGGUUGAGGCCGCUGGCUGCUCCGGCAGGACGCUGCUCCCGGCGGCUCGGUCUGGGCUCCUCUCCUCCGGCGGGGGCCCCGCUGCUCCCCUCUGUCUCCCGGAGCUCACGGCUCUGAUUCAAUGCUCGUCCCCGCUGCAGCGCCGGAGCCGCGCGGCCUGGGAGGAGCCGAUGAGAGGGCGGUGCCCGGGGAGGAGCCGAUGAGAGGGCGGGGCCAGAACAGAGCGCGACGGAGACUGCGGGAGAGGGCUUGCCGUGACGUCACAGUGGGAGG